rnacentral:rRNA from 1 species
UGGGGAAUAUUGGACAAUGGGGGGAACCCUGAUCCAGCCAUGCCGCGUGUGUGAAGAAGGCCUUAUGGUUGUAAGGCACUUUAAGCGAGGAGGAGGGUACUGGUAUUAAUACUACCAGCUACUGGACGUUACUCGCAGAAUAAGCACCGGCUAACUCUGUGCCAGCAGCCGCGGUAAUACAGAGGGUGCGAGCGUUAAUCGGAUUUACUGGGCGUAAAGCGUGCGUAGGCGGCUAAUUGAGUCGGAUGUGAAAUCCCCGAGCUUAACUUGGGAAUUGCAUUCGAUACUGGUUAGCUAGAGUGUGGGAGAGGAUGGUAGAAUUCCAGGUGUAGCGGAGAAAUGCGUAGAGAUCUGGAGGAAUACCGAUGGCGAAGGCAGCCAUCUGGCCUAACACUGACGCUGAGGUACGAAAGCAUGGGGAGCAAACAGG